CGGGAAAAGCUCAAAUUUAAAAUCUGGCAGUCUUUGGCUGUCCGAGUUGUAAUCUAGAGAAGCAUUAUCCGCGCUGGACCGUGUACAAGUCUCCUGGAAUGGAGCGUCAUAGAGGGUGAGAAUCCCGUCU
rnacentral:rRNA from 1 species